rnacentral:rRNA from 1 species
AGAUUGAACGCUGGCGGCAGGCCUAACACGUGCAAGUCGAGCGGUAGAGAGGUGCUUGCACCUCUUGAGAGCGGCGGACGGGUGAGUAAUGCCUAGGAAUCUGCCUAGUGGUGGGGGAUAACGUUCGGAAACGGACGCUAAUACCGCAUACGUCCUACGGGAGAAAGCGGGGGACCUUCGGGCCUCGCGCCAUUAGAUGAGCCUAGGUCGGAUUAGCUAGUUGGUGAGGUAAUGGCUCACCAAGGCGACGAUCCGUAACUGGUCUGAGAGGAUGAUCAGUCACACUGGAACUGAGACACGGUCCAGACUCCUACGGGAGGCAGCAGUGGGGAAUAUUGGACAAUGGGCGAAAGCCUGAUCCAGCCAUGCCGCGUGUGUGAAGAAGGUCUUCGGAUUGUAAAGCACUUUAAGUUGGAGAAGGUUGUAACUUAAUACGUUGCAACUUUGAUGUUACCGACAGAAUAAGCACCGGCUAACUUCGUAGCCAGCAGCCGA